CCUACGGGAGGCAGCAGUGGGGAAUAUUGCACAAUGGGGGAAACCCUGAUGCAGCGACGCCGCGUGAGUGAAGAAGUAUCUCGGUACGUAAAGCUCUAUCAGCAGGGAAGAAAAUGACGGUACCUGACUAAGAAGCCCCGGCUAACUACGUGCCAGCAGCCGCGGUAAUACGUAGGGGGCAAGCGUUAUCCGGAUGUACUGGGUGUAAAGGGAGCGUAGACGGCAGCGCAAGCCUGGAGUGAAAUCCCGGGGCUUAACCCCGGGACUGCUUUGGAAACUGGGCGGCUGGAGUGCAGGAGGGGUAAGCGGAAUUCCUGGUGUAGCGGUGAAAUGCGUAGAUAUUAGGAGGAACACCGGUGGCGAAGGCGGCUUACUGGACUGUAACUGACGUUGAGGCUCGAAAGCGUGGGGAGCAAACAGGAUUAGAUACCCGGGUAGUC
rnacentral:rRNA from 1 species